rnacentral:rRNA from 1 species
AAUUCGAUGCAACGCGAGAACUACCUGGUCUUGACAUCCCGGAGACCCUUAGGAAACUAGGGGUGCUUCCAUCUGGAAGAAUCUGGAGACAGGUGCUGCAUGGCUGUCGUCAGCUCGUGUCGUGAGAUGUUGGGUUAAGUCCCGCAACGAGCGCAACCCUUGCCUUUAGUUGCCAGCAGUUCGGCUGGGCACUCUAAAGGGACUGCCGGUGUUAAACCGGAGGAAGUGGGGAUGACGCCAAGUCCUCAUGGCCUUUAUGACCAGGGCUACACACGUACUACAAUGGCCGAUACAAAGGGCAGCGACACUGCGAGGUGAAGCCAAUCCCGUAAAAUCGGUCUCAGUCCGGAUUGGAGUCUGCAACUCGACUCCAUGAAGUUGGAAUCGCUAGUAAUCGUGGAUCAGCAUGCCACGGUGAAUACGUUCCCGGGCCUU